rnacentral:rRNA from 1 species
UAGGGAAUCUUCCACAAUGGACGAAAGUCUGAUGGAGCAACGCCGCGUGAGUGAUGGAGGGUUUCGGCUCGUAAAACUCUGUUGUUGGAGAAGAACGGGUGUCAGAGUAACUGUUGACAUCGUGACGGUAUCCAACCAGAAAGCCACGGCUAACUACGUGCCAGCAGCCGCGGUAAUACGUAGGUGGCAAGCGUUGUCCGGAUUUAUUGGGCGUAAAGCGAGCGCAGGCGGUUUUUUAGGUCUGAUGUGAAAGCCUUCGGCUUAACCGGAGAAGUGCAUCGGAAACCGGGAGACUUGAGUGCAGAAGAGGAGAGUAGAACUCCAUGUGUAGCGGUGGAAUGCGUAGAUAUAUGGAAGAAUACCAGUGGCGAAGGCGGCUCUCUGGUCUGCAACUGACGCUGAGGCUCGAAAGCAUGGGUAGCGAACAGGAUUAGAUACCCUGGUAGUCCAUGCCGUAAACGAUGAGUGCUAAGUGUUGGGAGGCUUCCGCCUCUCAGUGCUGCAGCUAACGCAUUAAGCACUCCGCCUGGGGGAGUACGACCGCAAGGUUGAAAC